ACUGCGUUAAUGGUUCCGUGGAGUUAUCCCUUCCGUUGUUGUUUAUUGAUUGUUAAACAUGGCUUCAUUUACAAAGGUGGUUGUGUGUGUCCUCAUUGCUUGUGUCUGUAAUGGUAAGUUUUCCUCUGGUUUCUGUUGGUUGUGUUUUAUCUUGAAAUUCUGUCUGAAAUAGUCACUCGUUUUGUCUUCCUUUGAACAGCAUUCGGUUUUCCGAAGAAAGAUGUGAACUUUAAGGCCUCUGCAGUUGACCGCCAAAGUGAUGAUGUGGUUGUCACCACAACACCCAAUCCCCACAACCAGACCACCUCUGCCCCUACUGAAGCUGGUGGUGAGGUUUCCUUUUAACGAUAUUUAUGGGUUCUGUUGAGUCUUGAUUGUGUUGGUUAAAUGUUGACUCUUGUAUGUUUAUCCUAAGGUGGAGCAAGUGAAGAUGCUGUGGCUACUACCCCAGCACCUAAUCCACACAACCAGACAACUUCUGCACAAACUGAAGUUACUGGUAGGGUGUUUCUUUUUAGUUUUUGUGUGGUUUUCUGCAAGUUUGGUUUCUGUAACAAAUGUGUGUAAGUGUGUCCCUUGGCUUCUCUCUGGCCCCCUCACUCAUGUGGAAUCCCAAGAUGGGGCCAGUGAAGAUGCUGUGGACCGCCAAAGUGAUGAUGUGGUUGUCGCCACAACACCCGUUCCCCACAACCAGACCACCUCUGCCCCUACUGAAGCUGGUGGAGUUUUUAUUUAUUAAUUUUUUUACGAUAUUUUUUGGGUUCUGUUGAGUCUUGAUUGUGUUGGUUAAAUGUUCACUUUUGUAUGGUUAUCCUAAGAUGGAGCAAAUGAUGCAGAUGAUGAUGAUGAUGCAAGUGAAGAUGCUGUGGCUACCACCCCAACACCAAAUCCCCCAACUACAUCUGACCACACUGCAGCUACCGGUAAGGACAUCAGUGCAUGUCUGUUUUGAUGGAACACUUUGAAUGUUUGCGCCCCCCUUUUGACAGUGUCCCUUUCUAUUUGUGCGUAAUCGCAAGAUGAUGCAAGUGAGGGUGCUGUGGCUGCCCAAACUGGAACUACUGGUAAGGGAGUUAUGAUUAUACAAGGAACCACUUGGAUGGUCCAAACCGUUUGCUCUUAAAAAUGUUUUCACAAGGAAUCUG
ensembl:lncRNA